ACGUGAAUUAGCGGCCUACUCAACGAACAAGUUGUUGCUUCUCGCGUCCUGCCAUUUAAUAUAAUAUUUUACAUGAACUAAUAAGUAUAACUAACAUUAAGUAUCUUUAAUCCGUAUUCGUGUUCUGGUACACUGGAUUCCAGUCGACUAUUUCCAGUCAUAGUCGUGGUCUAUAGACCACGGAAUAUAAUAUACCGCAUCUACAGAUACGUAUAAUACCUACAAACUGAAGUUAACUACAGUCUACAAAACAAAAUAAGUUGCAAACCAAGUGAAUAACAUUUUGGGAAGUACGACAAAUUUGAUAUUAUUUGCAGUUAUAAUUGUAAUUACAAAUUGAUACAACAUAGUAAAAGAGAUGGAUUCUGUAAAACAUGUUAUACCAUGGAUAAGUGGCCAAAAGGAAGUUCUGAAAUCCAACUGAUGUGAAUCUAAAUUAUAUAUAAACAGCUGUCAUACUCCCAGUUUAAUUCAAGUCCUACAAAGUCUACACAGAGAUGGAGUGUUAUGUGCUAUUAAGUUAGAAACAGAAGACGGUGUAAUAGUGUAUGUACAUAAAGUUGUUUUAGUAUCAGCUAGUCCAUACUUCCGUGCAAUGUUCACCAGUUUUGCCAAAAGGGAUGGAGAUGUUGUAAAUUUAGACAAUUCUUUGAAACAUUUGCUUGUGGUGAAGAAAUGCAACACAAUAUGGAUUAUAUGGUAUUUUCGGUAUACCUACCAUAGUUUUGUUUCCAGCUGCUAAUCUCUUACAGUUGAAUCAUGUAAAAUGUGUAUCUGUUGACUUUUUACAAAAACAUCUGAAUCCUUCAAAUUGUUUUGGUAUUAAAGGAUUUGCUGACUUUUAUAACUGCAUGGAAUUGUCUUCAAGUUCUGAAGAAUACAUAUAAACAAAUUUUUUAAAACUGGUUGAAGCUGGUGAAUUCCUAUCUUUGUCUUCUGAAGAAAUGAUAAAUCUAAUCUCUCCUGAUGACAUUAACGGUCUAUUUGAAGAAAAAAUAUGCCUUAUUAAAUUUGUAAUUGUUGUAUUUAAUUAUUGUUGAAAAAUCAACUUACUUAUGCGGAUUGCGAGGAAUAUAAUUGAAUCGUAUGAUUCACAAAUACUAAUAACAGGGGGAUGGGUAUUUGGGAAGAGGAUAUAACUAAAUAAUUAUGUAAAUUUUUGCAUUAUUUAAUAGUUUUUGGCAGUUUAUUAAAUUAGGUAUUUAAUUUUAAAGCUAUUUCUAAAGGUUAGAUUAUUAUCUAGGACAUCUCAAAGGCUUUUGGUAAUAUUAUAUUUUAAAGGAAGUUAUGAGUAUUAUAAGCUAUGCAAACAAUUAACAAUUUCAACUCGCUUUAAAAUUAAAAUUUAAUCAGAUACCUUUAAAUUUUAUAAGAUAAUAAUUCCCUCUAAUUUUUAAACUAACCUAGCUAAACGUUAUUUACUGAGAGUACAUUUUUAAAAUGUUACCAUAAUUAUCUGUGUAACGUCCACUUUAGAUAAUAAAUUAGAAGUUCACAGUCAAAUAUAUUAAAUUUGAAUCAACAAGCUUAGAGUCAUUACGGAAAAAAAUACUAACAUAACUCAGCUUAAUAAAAGUUCAUAUACUUUUUUGAUUAUUCAAAUAGUGCAGAGGUUUUUGACAGGAGUAUUCAAGAAUGGUGAUUAAUAUCUAAUAUGUCUACUGAGAGAGGGGACCCUGGUUUGAAUGCUAUAAUCCCAGCCUUGACACGUGGACACCAGUCACACAAAUGUCUACAAAACGCCGUGCCCCUGUUAUAGGAGUCUUAGACGGUGUAAUGUAUGCUAUUGGUGGUGCCUGUCAGGAACUCGGAAGUUCAGUGUAUCUUAAAAGUGUUGAGACCUAUUCACCAAUUACUAAAGUUUUGUCUCCUAUCAAAGAUAUGCACUUGUCCAGAUUCAAUUCAAGUGGUGUGACAUUUAAGGGUUUGUUCUAUGUUAUUGGCGGAUCUGAUGAAUUUUUGGAUUCUGUAGAAAUCUAUGACCCUAAAACCAAUACCUGGAUCUUGGAACCAUGGCCGAAAAGUUUAGUGAAUGUUUAUGGGGCAGUAAUAUUUGAUAUGCCAUCACAUUUGAGAAUAUAUUAGCUUAUGCAUGGUCUCCUUGUUGGUUGUUGUAUAUAUUAUAUUCAUAUUAAUAUAUAAUUCAUGAACACGUGUUAAGUAUUUUAUACAUUUUUGAUUUUGUGAAUUUUGUAUUAAGCCACUUUGAUUGCCACUGGACGUCAAUGUUUUAAUAUAAGUUUUAGCUUAUUAUAAUUAAUUUGUUCGUUUAUUUG